rnacentral:lncRNA from 1 species
AUGAUGAAAAUAAAAUGAUCAUGCAUCUGAUUUCAAAAAUAAAAUUUAACUAGUGAUCGGAUCACCUACCUAAAUUGCUAAACUCCUUCAGAUCUGGAUCUGAAGAUGUCUGUAGGUUCCAUUGAAAGCCAUACAUGCAUUUGGUCUCUAUGGGUUUGUAUAUAGAGUUGAAGCAGAUUGGAAGUGCCAAAGACCACCAAGGUGCUAGCUCUCUUUUAGAUCUCCACUUCACUAGUUUGGAUCUGAUCUCCUUCUUUGACCAUUGUAGAAGAGUAUCAAGGAUCUAUGCACAGACUGUUAUCGUGCAAGACUGGAGGAAG